AAUAGCUAGUAGCUUAUAUAACCAUAGCCCAGUACACAAAGGAUGAGAAAUCUGCUCACUCAUUCAGGUGCCUCAGAAAACAAAUCUUGGGAGGGCUAAAACACAACUGUGAGCUGCUACUAGACUGAUGUGAUGGAUUCACCUUCUGUCCAAUAUUAUUAAAUAUGACUGAUUUCAAGCAUUUCUUCUCUCCUGGGAGUUCAACAGCCAAAUUACUUGUUACCCAAGCUACAGUAACCAUCCAAUGUGGACAUGAUUCUAGCCUCUUCUCCACUAUGUAAUGAAUGAAAAACUUGACAACAUUUGAGCCAUGAGGCAGAAAAUACAAGAGUUCUCCUUCCUCUGGGACAAGGUAAAUCGAUAUCCUCUGCAAAAAUUGGAUUAGACAAUUCCUGUGUUGACUGUGGAUGAAAACCUGGAAGGUA